CGGCCACGUUGUUCGUCAUCUUGCCGAGGACACGGCCACGAAGGUUCGCUUUCGAGGGGAGUUGGGGGCAGCCCCAACGAUGUCCCCGUCCCUUGGGGUGGGCUGGGUGCAGCAGUACCUCUAGCCAAGCCCGAGUCCUCCGGAUGAAGGUGUAAACAGGAUGUGCAUGUUACCGCGGAGGCAACCUUAGCAACAGCCGGCAUGCAUCUCCUGCUGGAGGAGGAGGGCUCCCUGGAUACCACAGCAACUGGAGCGGCGCGGCGCCCCGUCCCGGCUGUCGGCGGAGCCCCCGCGGGCGGCCAU
rnacentral:lncRNA from 1 species